rnacentral:rRNA from 1 species
GAUGAACGCUGGCGGCGUGCCUAAUACAUGCAAGUCGAGCGAAUGGAUUAAGAGCUUGCUCUUAUGAAGUUAGCGGCGGACGGGUGAGUAACACGUGGAUAACCUGCCCAUAAGACUGGGAUAACUCCGGGAAACCGGGGCUAAUACCGGAUAACAUUUUGAACCGCAUGGUUCGAAAUUGAAAGGCGGCUUCGGCUGUCACUUAUGGAUGGACCCGCGUCGCAUAGCUAGUUGGUGAGGUAACGGCUCACCAAGGCAACGAUGCGUAGCCGACCUGAGAGGGUGAUCGGCCACACUGGGACUGAGACACGGCCCAGACUCCUACGGGAGGCAGCAGUAGGGAAUCUUCCGCAAUGGACGAAAGUCUGACGGAGCAACGCCGCGUGAGUGAUGAAGGCUUUCGGGUCGUAAAACUCUGUUGUUAGGGAAGAACAAGUGCUAGUUGAAUAAGCUGGCACCUUGACGGUACCUAACCAGAAAGCCACGGCUAACUACGUGCCAGCCGCCGCGGUAA